GGGGGCCGAAAGGGCUUUAUAGGGGUCCAAAUGGGGCUCCUUGCAUCAAAUCCCGUGAUUAUAAGGGUUGGGGAUCGGUUGCCUACGGUGUGGAGUCCCGUUUGGUCACGGCGAGGAAGAAGACGGGCGCUGCCCGGUGGGUCCCAAAUGUCAGCGAGAGAGAAGGAGGGCCCGGUCGUCAGCGAUGGGAGAGAGAGAGGUGGGUGUGCGCGGCUGGCCAACUGGGCCGAGGCGAUGGGGGAAAUAAGGGAGGGCACACCGUUGGGCCAGAAUAGAGAGAGGGGAAAGUUGUUUUCCUUUUUCUUUUGUUUGUUUUUUUAUUUCCAAACAUUUUUCAAAUCCAUUUUAAAAUCUGUUUGAAAUAUUUUCAAACUUUGGUCAAAAUCAUUCAUCUCAAAAUAAAAUGCACCAGCAUGAUUUACACACAAUUGUUGCUAAGUGUCG
rnacentral:lncRNA from 1 species